rnacentral:rRNA from 1 species
GACGAACGCUGGCGGCGUGCUUAACACAUGCAAGUCGAACGGAAAGGCCCUGCUUUUGUGGGGUGCUCGAGUGGCGAACGGGUGAGUAACACGUGAGUAACCUGCCCUUGACUUUGGGAUAACUUCAGGAAACUGGGGCUAAUAUCGGAUAGGAGCUCCUGCUGCAUGGUGGGGGUUGGAACGUUUCGGCGGUUGGGGAUGGACUCGCGGCUUAUCAGCUUGUUGGUGGGGUAGUGGCUUACCAAGGCUUUGACGGGUAGCCGGCCUGUGAGGGUGACCGGCCACAUUGGGACUGAGAUACGGCCCAGAGUCCUACGGGGGGCAGCAGUGGGGAAUAUUGCACAAUGGGCGGAAGCCUGAUGCAGCAACGUCGCGUGCGGGAUGACGGCCUUCGGGGUGUAAACCGCUUUCGCCUGUGACGAAGCGUGAGUGGCGGUAAUGGGUAAAUAAGCACCGGCUAACUACGUG